UGCCGGGUCGUCUAAUGGUAGGACACAUGCCUCUGGAGCAUGGUAUCGGGGUUCGAGCCCCUGCCCGGCAGCCG
rnacentral:tRNA from 1 species